ACCCCUAAAUCAUUAAUACAAAUAUUAUUUUGUACACGUGUUCUUGUCUCGUUCAUCGCAGGAAUUUCCGUGUUUACAAAUUUGGCACGCCCGGUAGGAUCUUUCUCUACCUCUCAUCUUUAUCUUUGAAUCCGCAAAAACCACAAAUGGCAUCAAAGAAGGCUUAAGUUGUUCUCGCAACCAAUGCAAGGAACAAGAGCGUCAUCAUCGUAGGUGGUAUCACUUCGGGCAUCACAACUCGAAGCAAGGCAAGAGCUCUUUCUGCCGCCUCUUCUACCC
rnacentral:lncRNA from 1 species